rnacentral:misc_RNA from 1 species
GAUGAAGAACGUAGCGAAACGAGAUAAGUAAUGUGAAUUGCAGAAUCCAGUGAAUCAUCGAAUCUUUGAACGCACAUUGCGCCCGCCAGCAUUCUGGCGGGCAUGCCUGUUCGAGCGUCAUUUCAACCCUCGACCUCCCCUUGGGGAGGUCGGCGUUGGGGACCGGCAGCACACCGCCGGCCCUGAAAUGGAGUGGCGGCCCGUCCGCGGCGACCUCUGCGCAGUAAUACAGCUCGCACCGGGACCCCGACGCGGCCACGCCGUAAAACACCCAACUUCUGAACGUUGACCUCGGAUCAGGUAGGACUACCCGCUGAACUUAAGCAUAUCAAUAAGCGGAGGA